rnacentral:misc_RNA from 1 species
GAUGAAGAACGUAGCGAAAUGCGAUAAGUAAUGUGAAUUGCAGAAUUCAGUGAAUCAUCGAAUCUUUGAACGCACAUUGCGCCCGCCAGUAUUCUGGCGGGCAUGCCUGUCUGAACGUCAUUUCAACCCUCAUGCCCCUAGGGCGUGGUGUUGGGGAUCGGCCAAAGCCCGCGAGGGACGGCCGGCCCCUAAAUCUAGUGGCGGACCCGUCGUGGCCUCCUCUGCGAAGUAGUGAUAUUCCGCAUCGGAGAGCGAUGAGCCCCUGCCGUUAAACCCCCAACUUUCCAAGGUUGACCUCAGAUCAGGUAGGAAUACCCGCUGAACUUAAGCAUAUCAAUAAGCGGAGGA